rnacentral:lncRNA from 1 species
GUGUUUUCAACUGUGCUGGGCAUUGUUCGUUAAUAGGUGCUGUGCAUCUGAGAUUACGACAUCCUCCAUUGGUCGGGCUGAAUUCCAUGGGGAUGUUAAAUCCAUCAACAAGAGAGAUGUCGACAAAGUCCUGAUUGGGUUGAUUAAGUGCAAAUUCAGCUAAAGUGUUAGGUGCUUUUCCAUAGCCUUGACACUCUAACAUCCCGUUACAGUCUCCAGUCUCACAAUUACCUCGGCCACUGCCAUCGAAGUUGCAAU